AAGAAUGAGGAAAACAACUUACAUAAGUUAUGUGUAAGCAGAUUGAUUUCUAAAUAAAAUUUUUCAAAUUCUUACUGAGAUGUCAGCAGCUGCUAUUUGAAAAUGAGUGACUACUUUCAAUAUGCUACAGUGGAAAUGGAGCUCUCAAAUUAAAACUCAAAUUACUUGUCUCAUCGUUAAUACAUGAACUAUUUGGAUACUAUAAUAGUUGCUGUCCACGACUGGACUAAACAAUAAAAUAUUACCAGACCUGAAGUUUCUGUUAUAGCAUGUCCUAUCUCUGGCCAAACCAUGUCAAUCAACUUCCCAGGAUCCUUAUUCACAGCUCUCUCCCUUCUCUGCGAAGGCCCCAGAUUGUGACUAACAAUGGUUCCAUAUUUGUGGCAAAGGCAGAGGAUGUAAUCAUGGACUCUCCACGUUUCAUAUCACACCCCAGCCACAGUGUGGUCAAAACAUUUAAUGAACAAUUUAAAGAUGCAGGAAGAAGAUAAGGGGGAGUGUCCCUGGAGAAUCUCCCACUGGUCUGCACACUGGGAGAACAGGGUGGAGCCACAGGAAGUUAAUGUCGUUUGCAGGGGGAGAAACCUGUCCUCUCCUGUUCCUGUGUGGUGACCUGGGAUCCAAUCUGUGAGUUGGGGGUCUGUUAAUAGGAACUUGUCUCGCUUUGUUGAGGGGUUCUUUUCUAGUUUCCUUUUCAUCCAAUAAAUUACAUUCCCCUCACCCUUCAAA